AAGGACAAUGCACAAUGGUGAACAAAAACAAAACAAACAAGCAAACAAAAACAACACCAGCCAUCUCAAUGUGUUAUUUCUUGCCAAGUCAAUUCCAAAUUAAUAGGUGGAAAAUUGAAGCACAGACAGACCGUCACCUACAUGGGCUACUACCAGGUCUCUGAGUCCUUGUCCAGAGUUCUGACACUUUGAGUGCUUCAUGUAAGUGGAAUCACAGUAUUUAUGUCUUUAUGAUUAGCUUAUUUCACUCGGCAUAAUGUUCUCAGUGCUCAUCCCUGCACAGCACACAGGGAAUUUCUCUGCUACACUGAAUGACAUCUGCUGCGUGUAGAGGUCACGACUUGCCAUCUUCAGUCACUGUGCUCUCACUAGUGUGAAGAAUGCUGGUAUGAACAUGGCCAAGAAAUCCCCACCAAAUGCAGCAUUGUGAAGCUUUUAUCCUACUUUUUACCUGUUGUUGGGGUUUCAGGUAAGUAGAGGGAGGCAGAGAGAACACAGCAAGGAAUUCCUUCAAUGAGCUAGUAUCCUCUGUGAUGUAAGGGCCAGGGCCUGGGGGCUGGGUGUCUCCAAUGUGGGCGGAGGGCGUGGCAAAGCAGGCACCUUUCAGGUGAGCUGUCUGAUCCCCCGUUUUUUAAAGAGUGUUGUUGCAGGCUUUGCAUUUAAAUAUAUAAGGUACCUUGAGUUUAUUUUUGUAUCUGGUGUCACAUUGCAUUACCACUUCCUUCUUCUGCGUGUGGGUAUCAGUUUUGUCAGCAAAAAACGUUGAAUGCUUUUCGCCCACUCUAUUAAUCUUUCUUUUUACUGGAGAGUUGAAUUUUCAUUUAUUACUUCUUACCAGCACCCCAGGAACCUUCUUCUAUAUGUCCCGCCACAGCAAGGACCUGUCUCCACUGCAUUUACUUAUUUAUCUGUUUACAGGCUUACUUCAUGAGGCGGGUAUUUACUUCAUGGGGGUGGGGGGGGCCAGAGCUGAUGGCCAGCGGAUCCGUACUGGGGAUUGAACUCCGGCCCUCAUGCGUCAAGUCCAAAGGUGUACCACUGUGCCAUCCAGACCAAUCUCUUUCCUCUUCCCUCUCCUACAUGUACCUCCUAGACUAAAGUUUAUUUACAGCUCUUUUCUUUUUUUUUUUUAAAUUUAUUUCUUUAUUGGGGAAUUAAUGCUUUACAUUCAACAGUAAAUACAAUAGUUUGUACAUGCAUAACAUUCCCCAGUUUCCCAUUUAACAAUACAAUCCCCACUAUGUCAUUCAUCAUCCUUCAUGGACCUGCAUUCUCCCCACCCACCCACCCACCCCAGAGUCUUUCACUUUGGUGCAAUACGCCAGUUCCAAGCUGUUUUCUUUAUUGGGGGGGAUUCAUGGUUUACAGUCAGCAAUAGAAUCCAGUAGUUGGUGCACGCGUCCCGUUUGUCAGUUUUCCACCCAACAUUCUAACCCCAUGUAGGUCCUCCUCUGCCGUCCUGUUCCAGGACUUGAACAUUACCCCCACCCCCACCCCCACCCCCACCCCCACCCCAGAGACCUUUGGGCAAAGUGACUGUUGAAUUUUUUUUCCCCUCCCUAAGUGGGCCAUACUUUGCUAUUUCCUUGGAUUUCUUGUGAUUACCUGUUUAAAAAUGAUUUCUUAACAAGAAGGUGGGGAGAGAGUGGCAUAUGUCGUGCUAGGGACUGAACCUGGGGCUUGCAAGUCUAGGUCUCUUGUGUGCCUUGCCACCGGCUGCUCGGCAGGUGAGCUUGGUCAGCACUGGGGACUGCAAAGUCGUAAUGUGAAGACAGUGAAUGUGUAUUGCCUUAACCCACUAAAUUUGUAGAGAUUAAUUAUGCAACAAUAGGGAACUAAUUCAUUCUGCUCUUUUUUUUUUUUUUUUUUUUAAACAACACUACUUUUCCUCCCUACAGAAGACAACUUAGCCAUUUUUCCUGACUCUGAAUGCAAGAAUCUUGGGUACUGUGUAGUCCUCUCCAUCAAGUAAGGCUGUUGUGCCUUAGGGUGUAGCAGCUAUGGUGGAAAAGCACUGCCUGCCUCCUCUGAUCUCCAGUACCUGGUGACAGUAGACACACCUGCAAAGAAGGAACAGGGAAACCACAG